UUGGAAAGUUUAUUCAGAAACGUGCUGCAAAGUCCCCCGGCGUCUCCCGCCUCCCAGCCUCCCAGCCUGCCUGCACCUCCCUGCAGCCGCCGCCGCCGCCGCCGCCGCCGCAGCAGCAGCAGCAGCAGCAGCAGCAGCCGCAGCAGCAACAGCCAGGGAGACCGCGCUCGGGGUCCAAAUCUAGCUGCGCCCAGGCGGGGGCGGGGGAUGGACAGAGUCCCUGGGAGGCGCCGAGGGCGCAGGGUGGAGACCCGAACUGCAGGUGGAGGUCUGUGAGUCUCUGCAGAGCCAGGAGCCUUCCUCCCCUCUCCUCUAGACCCCGCACCCAGCGUCCUCGCACCCCUCCUCUAGAGAGGUGUCCUAUCCGUAAAUUCGCCCACCCGCCGGGGGAUUGUAUUGUUUUAAGGCAGGGCCCUGGGCUUGCACACGCUCGCCCACCUCCCAGCCUCACUGGCUUGUGGCUGUUUAUUCCUGUGUCUUAGGAAAGUUUCAAACCUAUUAGAAAAUGGCUUGCCUGACUCGGCGAAGCUUCGGGCCCCUCUGAGUUAGAAAUACAGGUUUUGAUGCCCUACGCUAGGAGAGCUAUGGGCUAGACUGGUUUGGGGGAUGCUGUUUCCCUCUAGCUGGUUUUCCUGGCGGCGGCGGGGGUGGGGUGGGGGUCUUGAAUUCUGUUUGAGGAGCAGGAAGACUCUAUUGCAGUAACUGCACGACACCGUUUCCCCUUUUCACUGAGUUCUUCAGAGCAGAUUCCAGGGUGUUCCUUUGGAAGCCACAUCUUAAAACAUACAUUUAAAAAAAACCACUUACAGCUGCUUGCCCUGGGUGUCAGUGCAAAGGUAAGCGGCAACGUUUCCACGAUUAACAUAUAUUUAAUUUCUCCAUCAUAAAAAUACCCAAGGUGAAAUGGGACCUGCCCUCUGCUCCCGCCCUCCCCCCAACCAGAUUUCACCCAGCCCAGAAAAACAGGGCUGUGUGUCGGCAUUUGGUCUGUCCUAGCCGGCCCCCCUCUGGGUUCCUAGUGCUCGCGGGGACCGGUGACGCCCCUCCCUUCUGGCUGAUGGAUAUUCACCCGAGCGCCCGAAGGUGGGGGAGGGGAGGUUUAUAUGAGUGUUUAAAGAAGUAAAAACGUGAUGUUCCAAAGAGAUCUGAAAAAUGCAGCAUAAGUAUUGAUUAAUGAUGCAGGUGGUGUUGUGGAGCGGGGUGAAAGGUCAGCUCUAAUGUACACAAUUGAGCACGCAAUAAGUAUAUUUAUUUGCCUUUCUAGAAAUGGCUUUUUAAAAGUAGUAAAUUAUGACAACGUUAGAAUUAUUUUCUAGCCGUUCAGUUAACUUCGUUUGGGGUUGUAAUACCCUUGCUGCUUUCAUUGAGAGAGCUCGGUGGGCUCUUUCCCAAACCUUUAGUGACGACAGUGCGUAAACCCCAGGCCAGCAGACGACCCCUCCCCUUCCCUCCUCCUUGCUUUUAUCUUGCCGGCGGAGGAGACUCCCCAUACUUCCUGCAGUAUAUAUUCUGCCUCUGAUCUCCGUACUUAAUAGCCAAGUCCUGGUUUAUGCUUUAUAAUGUGUUGACAAGUUUUCUAACAGACUUUCUCAAAUAAUGCACAUAUAUUCACGUCGGUUAGAAACCCACCGUAUUUUUUAGAGCCCUAGUAGAUCUAUACCCUAAUGCGGAGAGAGGGUGUAAAUCAUGGAGGGUUUCAUAGUCCUUUCAGUAGUUUUCAUAUGAAGUAUGAGCCGCGUGGCCUCCAGACGUAACCUUUUAGAAAAAAAGACAGGGCUUUUAUUUUAUGGUGUAAAGUGCUUUUAGCUUCGGGGUUCUGAACGUGAAUGUGGUCAACAAACGGCUUCAAGAGGGAGUCUUAAUACAGCCCCAGCAGUAGCGUGAGCAUCCCUUACACGGGGGACUCUCUGCGAGCUGGAGAGUGAGGGGUUAAAAGGUCUGCCUCGGUGGAAAGUACGAAAUUAAGAUAAAAUAGUCACUGUGUGUCUUUAGAGUGAAACGCUUUCCUAGAUAAAAUAAAUAAAUAAAUAAAUAAAUGAUUGAAAAUGCAA